rnacentral:rRNA from 1 species
CUAUAUACCGCCGUCGCAAGCUCACCCUAUGAAGGAAAUAAUAGCAAGCAAGAAGGGCUUCGCCCAGAACGUCAGGUCGAGGUGUAGCAAAUGAAACGGGAAGAAAUGGGCUACAUU